rnacentral:rRNA from 1 species
AAUCUUCCGCAAUGGACGAAAGUCUGACGGAGCAACGCCGCGUGAGUGAAGAAGGUCNNNGGAUUNUAAAGCUCUGUCUUUCGNGACNAAUGUCGCCUAUGUGAAUAAUGUAGGUGAAUGACGGUACCGGAGGAGGAAGCAACGUCUAACUACGUGCCAGCAGCCGCGGUAAUACGUAGGUGGCGAGCGUUGUCCGGAAUUAUUGGGCGUAAAGCGCGCGCAGGCGGGUAUGUAAGUCUGUCUUAAAAGUGCGGGGCUCAACCCCGUGAUGGGACAGAAACUACAUAUCUUGAGUGCAGGAGAGGACAGUGGAAUUCCCAGUGUAGCGGUGAAAUGCGUAGAUAUUGGGAGGAACACCAGUGGCGAAGGCGGCUGUCUGGACUGUGUCUGACGCUGAGGCGCGAAAGCCAGGGGAGUGAACGGG